CGUCGUCGUCUGAUUUUUCAAAUCAGGCGAGAAAUUUGUUUCAAAAUUGUGUUGAGCAUUAGAUUGAAUUUACAAGAGUGUUAUGAUAGACAGUGUGUGUAAAAGACUGGAUUCCACCGACAUCUGAAUAUCGGGUACAUUUUACGAGCCAUGCCGAAAUCAGCCACUUUGACAACUCCAUCAUCGGCUAGCAGAACGUUACGAGCUGCCAGAUCGCCAUGGAGAACCUACAAGUAAUUAAACAGCACUAUUUGAUACGUCCCUGAAAUCGCGAGUGGGCCGCUGAUGUCAACCUACAACGCAGUUUCUCUAUUGAAAUUUGAUGGUCCUGGAACGGAGAUCCUUCAGCCAAGCUGGACUUCAUCCAUGACAGAAUAGUGGCUUCCACCAACUUUCUGCUCCAUCCUCAUCUUCACGACCCACACUCAUCCAGCUUCAUUGCUUCGCAUGCUGCUACACAUCUUGGUGUACUUCACUGGUCGCUUCGUUCGCUUUGACACACCUGCAGUCACUCGUCACGGGAUUAUGCUCAGGACAAUCCUUUGCUGCUUAUCGUGGACUUCAUCCAUUGGGGAAAACCGACGAGAGAUUACUGGAAUUGGAGACUGAUAAAAUUGUGUAGUUGUUAGUUAACUUAAAAGUGCAUAUAUCUGGGCUCUCUUCUUUUCUGUGGCCCCGUUUCCCUAACUAACCACUAACCAACGCCCGCCGGUGGUCACUCACCCGCUGUGAAACCAGGAGGAGGGGAGGGCUCUGGUCGAACGGGGACUUGGAAGGCGCAUGAUCCGAUGAAAACUUUUGGAGGGUCAUGAGUCUAACCCGGAAGCCUAGUAUGAUGCAUUGCUCUCAUAAUAACUGCUCCUCAGCUCUCUUCGCUCUUUUUCCGGUUUCUCUUAACCACGGCCGGGUAAUCUCCCUGAUGGUAGAGUCAGUCGGGCAGUGUCUCCCCCUGCUUGACUGGCUGCAGUUUGUACCGGACGGUUUGUUUAAUAAAUAAAACAAGUAU